CCUACGGGUGGCAGCAGUGAGGAAUAUUGGUCAAUGGGCGCGAGCCUGAACCAGCCAAGUCGCGUGAGGGAAGACGGUCCUAUGGAUUGUAAACCUCUUUUGUCGGGGAGCAAAAGACGCCACGCGUGGCGUUUCGUGAGUACCCUAUGAAAAAGCAUCGGCUAACUCCGUGCCAGCAGCCGCGGUAAUACGGAGGAUGCGAGCGUUAUCCGGAUUUAUUGGGUUUAAGGGGUGCGCAGGGGGAAGAUAAAGUCAGCGGUAAAAUUUUGGGGCUAAACCUUUUAGAGCCGUUGAAACUGGUAGUCUUGAGUGAGCGAGAGGUAGGCGGAAUGCGUGGUGUAGCGGUGAAAUGCAUAGAUAUCACGCAGAACUCCGAUUGCGAAGGCAGCAUACUGGAGUUCAACUGACGCUCAUGCACGAAAGUGUGGGUAUCGAACAGGAUUAGAUACCCCUGUAGUC
rnacentral:rRNA from 1 species